rnacentral:rRNA from 1 species
CGGGUCGCUCCAGCAGUGAGGAAUAUUGCACAAUGGGGGGAACCCUGAUGCAGCAACGCCGCGUGGAGGAUGACGCAUUUCGGUGUGUAAACUCCUUUUAUAUGUCAAGAAGAUGACGGUAGCAUAUGAAUAAGCGCCGGCUAACUCCGUGCCAGCAGCCGCGGUAAUACGGAGGGCGCAAGCGUUACUCGGAAUCACUGGGCGUAAAGGACGCGUAGGCGGGUUGAAAAGUCAGGUGUGAAAGCCUACAGCUUAACUGUAGAACUGCACUUGAAACUCUCAAUCUAGAGUAUGGGAGGGGCAGAUGGAAUUAGUGGUGUAGGGGUAAGAUCCGUAGAUAUCACUAGGAAUACCUAAAGCGAAGGCGAUCUGCUGGAACAUUACUGACGCUAAGGCGUGAAAGCGUGGGGAGCAAACAGGAUUAGAUACCCGGGUAGUC